GAUGAACGCUGGCGGCGUGCCUAAUACAUGCAAGUCGAGCGAACGGACGAGAAGCUUGCUUCUCUGAUGUUAGCGGCGGACGGGUGAGUAACACGUGGAUAACCUACCUAUAAGACUGGGAUAACUUCGGGAAACCGGAGCUAAUACCGGAUGAUAUGUUGAACCGCAUGGUUCAAAAGUGAAAGACGGUCUUGCUGUCACUUAUAGAUGGAUCCGCGCUGCAUUAGCUAGUUGGUAAGGUAACGGCUUACCAAGGCAACGAUGCAUAGCCGACCUGAGAGGGUGAUCGGCCACACUGGAACUGAGACACGGUCCAGACUCCUACGGGAGGCAGCAGUAGGGAAUCUUCCGCAAUGGGCGAAAGCCUGACGGAGCAACGCCGCGUGAGUGAUGAAGGUCUUCGGAUCGUAAAACUCUGUUAUUAGGGAAGAACAUAUGUGUAAGUAACUGUGCACAUCUUGACGGUACCUAAUCAGAAAGCCACGGCUAACUACGUG
rnacentral:rRNA from 1 species